rnacentral:lncRNA from 7 species
GAGGCACCAAAGAAUACGCAAAGCUCUCUGCAGACCUGCAGUCUGAGCUACACUCAUUCAAAGUUUCGGCUAACAAAAACAUUUGGAGGUUGCACAGAACAACACAUCAUUUGGUCAGAUCCCAAGGUUUCUACUAUCAUGAAAGCUAGAACAGAUGCGUUUUCUUUUUUGCUUUUGUCAUGCUUAUCAAUUUCUUCCUUGGCAUCUGGUAUUUUCUUUGCUGGAUAAAUUUACUUUCCCUGCCUCUUCUUAGGGGAACUCUAUUUACAGGAGGCUGGAAACUAGUCUGUACAAGAACGAAGCAGUUAAUCUAUUCUUCUCUGAUACCAGCGCUUGGGUAUAUUAACAUAAUCCUAUCUUAUAUAGCUCACUUUCAUGUAUGUGCAGUAUAAUACCCUGUGUUUCCUCUCACUCAUGCUAAUUUCCUGGUGAUGUUAGAAACAAGAAUAACAUAAAGGGUGUUGUCCCAGGUCAGAUGUCUAUCACUAUUAGUCUAUUAUCACCUGCCAAUUCAUGCACAUCAUUUCCAUCAUUGUCUGUGCGAAUCAUACAUGACAGAGAGUUAGCAAACAGAGAAAAUAAACAGAUGGGUAUGUGCUGUGUGUAGCAACAAAUUAAAGUAGUUAUAAGUUCUAGUAGAAAGAUUAUUGUAGCUCAUUUAU